rnacentral:rRNA from 1 species
ACACGUAGGGGCCUGACGUUGUUCGGAAUCAUUGGGCGUAAAGGGCGCGCAGGCGGCCGUCCAAGUCCGGUGUUAAAUGGUCGGGCUCAACCCGAUCAUGCGCUGGAAACUGGGCGGCUUGAGUCCCGUAGGGGAUGCCGGCAUUCCAGGUGUAGGGGUGAAAUCUGUAGAUAUCUGGAAGAACACCGAUGGCGAAGGCAGGCAUCUGGCCGGAGACUGACGCUGAGGCGCGAAGGCGCGGGGAGCGAACAGGUUUAGAUACCCUGGUAGUCCGCGCAGUAAACGAUGCGCACCAGGUGUCGGGCGGCAGCGCCCGGUACCGGAGCUAACGCGAUGAGUGCGCCGCCUGGGGAGUAUGCCCGCAAGGGUGAAACUCAAAUGAAUUGGCGGGG